AACUGGAGAAAAGAAUCUUCUGGGCUUUCCUGCCUUGUUUGGCCAUGACCCUCAGAUCUCAUCCUCCCGAGUAGCUAGGAUUUCAGGCUUGAGCCACCACUGCCCAGCACAAUUAACCAUUUUAGUCUUCUUCCUUUUAUUGCCACUUGGUUUGGUGACACAUGUAGAAAACGGUGCCAGCCUGCCAAACAUUUUAGAAUGUGUUUAGUGACUGAGGAGAUUAUUUUCAUGAUCCCUUUAUGACUUUUUAAACAAUCUUUUAAGUUUUUUCUUGCUUCUCUUUUGGUAUGAUGCAUUUACUGUUGAACUAGUUUAAUUUUCAAACCAAGAGAGCAUUCUGAAUGAAAAAA